CACGUAGUUAGCCGGGGCUUCUUACUCAGGUACCGUCAUUUCUUCCUCCCUGCUGAUAGAGCUUUACAUACCGAGAUACUUCUUCACUCACGCGGCGUCGCUGGAUCAGGGUUCCCCCCAUUGUCCAAUAUCCCCCACUGCUGCCUCCCGUAGGAGUUUGGGCCGUGUCUCAGUCCCAAUGUGGCCGUCCACCCUCUCAGGCCGGCUACUGAUCGUCGCCUUGGUGGGCCGUUACCUCACCAACUAGCUAAUCCAGACGCGGGUCCAUCUUACACCACCUCAGUUUUUCACACUCGACCAUGCGGUCCUGUGCGCUCAUGCGGUAUUAGCACCUAUUUCUAAGUGUUAUCCCCCUGUGUAAGGCAGGUUACCCACGCGUUACUCACCCGUCCGCCACCAAAGAUGCACAUGAUUUGACCGAAUCUCUUCACCGUACAUCCUCCGUUCGACUUGCAUGUGUUAAGCACGCCGCACGCGUUCAUCCUGAC
rnacentral:rRNA from 1 species